AUUGAACGCUGGCGGCAGGCCUAACACAUGCAAGUCGAACGAGUGGCGCACGGGUGAGUAAUGUGUGGGACACUGCCUGAUGGAGGGGGAAAACCACUGGAAACGGUCGCAUAUACCGCAAACUAGCAGAUGCGCCCAGAUGGGAUUAGCUUGUUGGUGGGGUAAGGGCUCACCAAGGCGACGAUCCCUAGCUGGUCUGAGAGGAUGACCAGCCACACUGGAACUGAGACACGGUCCAGACUCCUACGGGAGGCAGCAGUGGGGAAUAUUGCACAAUGGGCGCAAGCCUGAUGCAGCCAUGCCGCGUGUAUGAAGAAGGCCUUCGGGUUGUAAAGUACUUUCAGCGGGGAGGCGUUACCCGCAGAAGAAGCACCGGCUAACUCCGUGCCAGCAGCCGCGGUAAUAC
rnacentral:rRNA from 1 species